rnacentral:rRNA from 1 species
UACAGAGGUCUCAAGCGUUGUUCGGAUUCAUUGGGCGUAAAGGGUGCGUAGGCGGUCGUGACAAGUCACUUGUGAAAUCUCCGGGCUUAACUCGGAACGGUCAAGUGAUACUGUCGGACUAGAGUACAGAAGGGGCAACUGGAAUUCUCGGUGUAGCGGUGAAAUGCGUAGAUAUCGAGAGGAACACCUGCGGCGAAGGCGGGUUGCUGGGCUGAUACUGACGCUGAGGCGCGAAAGCCAGGGGAGCGAACGGG